rnacentral:rRNA from 1 species
UACGGAGGGUGCGAGCGUUGUUCGGAAUCACUGGGCGUAAAGCGCGUGUAGGCGGCCCAUUAAGUCUGAUGUGAAAGCCCGGGGCUCACCCCCGGAAGUGCAUUGGAAACUGAUGGACUCGAGUCCCGGAGAGGAGAGUGGAAUUCCUGGUGUAGCGGUGAAAUGCGUAGAUAUCUGGAGGAAUACCGGUGGCGAAGGCGGCAUCCUGGACCGACAUUGACGCUGAGGAGCGAAAGCUAGGGGAGCAAACGGG